rnacentral:rRNA from 1 species
UACGGAGGGAGCUAGCGUUGUUCGGAAUUACUGGGCGUAAAGCGCACGUAGGCGGCUUUGUAAGUUAGAGGUGAAAGCCCGGGGCUCAACCCCGGAAUUGCCUUUAAGACUGCAUCGCUUGAAUCCAGGAGAGGUGAGUGGAAUCCGAGUGUAGAGGUGAAAUUCGUAGAUAUUGGGAAGAACACCGGUGGCGAAGGCGGCUCUCUGGACCACA